rnacentral:rRNA from 1 species
GACGAAGGGGGCUAGCGUUGUUCGGAAUUACUGGGCGUAAAGGGCGCGUAGGCGGCCUGCUAAGUCACACGUGAAAUCCCUCAGCUCAACUGGGGAACUGCGUCUGAGACUGGUCAGCUUGAGUGCAGGAGAGGAACGCGGAAUUCCUGGUGUAGCGGUGGAAUGCGCAGAUAUCAGGAGAAACACCGGUGGCGAAGGCGGGUCUCUGGGCAGUAACUGACGCUGAGGAGCGAAAGCGUGGGGAGCGAACAGG